UGUUUCAGUGCUUCACAAAAACCAUCCCGGAGCAGAAGAUCCAAUAGCAGCAGAAGGUCAUAAAUCAGAGGACAGUCCUUUUCACUUUGGUUUCUCAGGCGUAACCUGCCUUCUGAAGGGUCAGAGAGAGAGAGAGAGAGAGACUGUGGAAACCUGCUGGUGAAUUAUGGCUCUUUGAAAUGACCUCAUGACAUCAGCAGAGACCUGAGAAUGAAGGAAAAAUAUCUGAGACGCAGACGAGACUGAAGCAAACGUUUCCAUUUGAUCUCAUUCAUGUCUAGGAGAAACAAUUUCGAUAUUAAAGAGAUCUCACCUGUGAUUUUACUUAUGGGUACAGUAACAUAUACAUUUAUCAAUUUAAAGAAUUCAAUGCUAUCAACGAUGUGCUAUUACACAAGACAUAUUUUGUUUUGAUUAUAUUUGAAUGUAAUGACUUCUAGGAUAAAACAAUCAAAUCAGUGAUUUUUAUUUUGUCAAAUAAUAUUUUUACAAAUGUUACUUGCCAACAUCUGAAAACAUCCAGGAGAUUAUUUUUGGCUCACCUACAGGAUCCGUACGGGAACCAGAAGCAGACAAACAGAAACGAACACACCAAAAGGACACAAAUGCAAUAACGGUUUUACCAUGAGUUGAAAGAGCAACACAAACAGGACAGAGCUUAACUUGUGUUAUUAGGCAGAGAUACGACGGCUGUGUUGGAGACGCUCAGAGAUCCAGACUUUGAUGUUAUUGGGGGUUAAAGGGUAACACGAUGCCUAACGUCUCCGCACAACCUUGUUAAAGUUGCUCAUAAGCUCUCCAUACAAAUGGAGUCCGUGUCAAAUAAAUCUAUCGCAUUACUCUGUUGAAUAUGCUGUGCCAAAUAACAUUUCUGAAUUUGAGAAAAAGGUGUUAUCUGUAAGACGGCACAUGAAGCUGGUGGUGCCCUUCGGUUUCAAGCGCUGCUGUUUUGAGUAUAGCGGUCACAUUACACCGGUAAACCAGGAGUAACAUCAGGGCGACAUCUGUGCUGUGUUUACAGUUCACCGCACUACAUCCACAAGCGUAGAAACCUUAUUAAUAAUAUUACUGCGUGUGAGUAUUACAGGCGUUUUAAAACAUGUAGGUAAAUCAAACUCAUAAAAAAAGAGACUUACAGUCAAUUUUAGAAUGCAUACACACCAAAUUGGUUGUGCUUUUAAUUUCUAUCCAUUUAAAGUGUGGAUUUGAUUUAUUGUUAUAUAAAAGUCAACCCGUUCUCAUCAAUUGCGUAUAAAUAACACGCUGUUGCAAUAUCGUGUAAUACGUACGCCAAAGUUCAAUUUUGCGUGCAUAUGAUAGGCUAAUGUUUGCGUGCACCUCGCUGGAGAGCAGCCAUUUUGAAACGUACAUGAAGAGGGAACACUGAAAUAAUUAAAAUAAUACUGUUAGGUUUAAGGUUUGGGACAGAUUUAUAAGACAAAUUGCCGUUUAAUAUGCCCGCACGCUAAAAUUUGCGUAUUGUAUGCACACAAAAUUGAACUUUGCCGUAUGUUUGACACCAUAUUGCAACAGCACGUGUUAUUUAUGAGAAUGAGUUUUAAGGAGGACUAUCAUGAAAAUCAAUGUAAAAAAUGUAAAAUACCAACACAAUCUACGAUACAUUUCACUACAAUCUGCUUUCACGCAAGUAACGGUUAGGUUUAGGGUCUUUUUUCAAAUCUUGUACAAUUCUCAUCAUAAGAAUUUAAACAAAUUUGCCGCCUUUAAAACUAAAAAUGUCCAUGAGAUCGGGCUGAAAACACGCUUCAUUUUCUUCAUACAUGUGCAAAGUGUGUUUGUGUGCGAGCAAAUGCUUCAUGUCCUAAAAAUGUCCUUCAUGCAUGUUGGAGGACGGGUGUUUCUCCACAGAGAGAUGUGCUUGAUUAUAAAGUGCUGUGUAAUGAUGGGCAGUUGGAUUUCCGUCUAAUUCCGUCCUCCUUUCUGUAAUUACCAGUUUUUGGUGUAGGAGGAGUCAAGCAGACGUUCCCACAGUCUCGGGUCGGUCACGCUGAGCUUUGCGGGUAUUUCUCCAGGGAUCAGGUAAGUCUGGGGCACUUCUGGAAAGGUUAAUCAGACGGAUAAAAGAUCUGGGGAAUUUAGUACAUGUAGCCUGGAAAAAGCCCAUAUGCUUUCUAUGGGAAAAUUCCAUCUGUUUGUUUGUUUGUGUGUGUGUGUGUGUGUGUGAGCCCAUCUGUAUCCUCGCCUGCACUGGAACCAUCUGCAGCGCUCCAAUGAAACGACGCAUCAAAGACUCGUUGGGGAGUAACCGUGCCCGCAGUUUUUGGGGUGGGCUGUUCUGUAUUUAACCCAGGCCGGCGUGACAGAGGGAUACGUGUCUCCACCGCAGUUACAAGCUUCAAACCAACCCCCUGAUGGUAGACAGCUAGUUUCUGCAGGUGGGUUCUCAAGACAGCUUUUCCUGAGGAGGGUCAAUCUGACAGGCGAGGGUCAAUCCAGGUCCGGCCCAAAACAUCAGACCUGUGCAAGUUUCAUGAAAAACGUUAAUAGUAAUAUACAUAUAGAUCUAGAUAUACAGUCACUUUAACACUUUGGUAAAUUCUAAAAGUCUUUGCUUUUUACCCCAAAUAUAUUAUUGAAGAUUAUUACAUUAAUGUUGCAUAGUUGUUAGUAUAAACUGCAGUUUAGCUUUGAGAAGAAUGUAAAGAGACCAAAAAUACAAAUUCUGUCAUCAUUUACUCACCUUCAGGUUGUUACAAAUCUGUAUCAAUGUCUUUGUUCUGAUAAGCACAGAGAAAUAUAUUUGGAAGAAUGCUUGUAACCAAACAGAUCUUGGACCCAAUUGACUGCAAUAGAAUAUAAUAUUACUUUUAAAAAAAAUGUUGUUCUGUUGAACACAAAAGAUGACAUUUUGAAGAAUGGGGCACGUUUUACUACCAUUGCAUUUUUCCUACUAUUGUUGUCAAUGGGGUCCAAGAACUGUUUGGUUACAAGCAUUCUUCCAAAUAUCUUUCUCUGUGUUCAGGCAAACAAAGAAAUGUAUAUAGGUUUGGAACAACUAGAGAGUGAGUAAAUGAUGACAGAAUUUUCAUUUUUGGGUGAACUGUCCCUUUAAGCAGACUUGGCAAAAAAUGACAAAACAACGCAUGAGCAAGGAGAGUGGCUACAAAAUAUUACCACAAAAGAGAAGGAACAAAUAUUCAUAUAUGAAUAUAUAAUAUAUUACAAUAAUUAAUAAAUAAAUAUGAUUAUUUUUCAUAUUUGAAUAUAACCCAUAUUCCCUGCUGUAUGUUGCCUUUGUCCAAUA